rnacentral:lncRNA from 1 species
GGAGAAAAGACUUUGCUCAAUAAUAUUUGAAUCAACAAGUGUAGUAAUAGCAAGCUUCUUGUUUUGAUAAAAGGGAAGAAAUUCUCAUUUUCUCUAUUUUAAUGUGUAUUUCCCACUUAGCAGAAUGCCUCACAUUUAGUGGCCAUGCAGCUAUUUGAGGACAAACACCUGAGCUUAAAAGUCCAUACUUCAGUAAGACUUUUAGGACUACUUUAGUGGCACUGAAUUAGAGAUUGAUAUCCCUUUUUUUAGCCUUUUCCCCAAAGUAAAUCAGACAAACAAAAAUAAAAAACAAAACACUCAAAAGUGAAUUAAACUUAGUUCCUGGGAUUACAAUGUUUACUAACCUAUUAUUUCCUCUCUUUGGUUUAGUGACUCAGCUUGCAGUUCUGCACAACGGAAUAAACCAGCACAGCACUACAAUCUGUUUGUAGUAGAUGGGGCAUAUGCUUUUCUUCUUCUUUUUGCUGCUGCACUCCCAAAAAACUCAUUGAUAUUUCCUAAAGCAGAUGUUUGUAUUGCAGAGACAACCAUUCUGGCAGAAGCUUUCUGUUCUCCAGCAUGUCAUGCUGGAGGAGAGUGCACCAAUGAUUUUGGCAUACACCAAGGAUAGCAAAUUGGUUUCGUUUUAGGAGCCAACUCUGAUGGAAAAAUAAAGAAUUCAAAAAGCUCUAUCUUGAAAAAGACAAGAACUGGGUUGAUGAAGAAAAUGCAGCAUUUAUCAGAGCUAUCCGACAUAGGAAGUGGAGAAUGGUGGCACAUCUGCCAAGUUAACGGCAAUAACUUUAUUCCAGGGGUGAAAUGAAGUCUUCAGAUAUUUACUAAUGUAUCAAGGCAAAUUGGAGAUUUUGAGUCAACAGGAAAAGUUGAUUCUUGAUGGAUCUCUCUAUUAAAAGAAGACAAUGAUCCAUAAGAAACUAUAUUGUCAGUGCUUUUCUC